GGGACAGAUGAGAGAAGGUCUGCUGAGUUGUGACAUCAUAGACAGCAAGACCAGUGAUGACCUCCACCAUGGCCUGGCCCCAUCUCUUCCUUACCCUCCUUGCUCACUGCACUGGGUCCUGGGCCCAGUCUGUGCUGACACAGCCACCUUCUGUGUCCGGGGCUCUGGGCCAGAAGGUCACCAUCUCCUGCACUGGAAGCAGCUCCAACAUUGGGUAUGGUUAUGAUGUGAACUGGUACCAACAGCUCCCAGGAACAGCACCCAAAAUGAUCAUCUAUGCUAAUAACAAUCGACCCUCAGGGGUCCCUGAGCGAUUCUCUGGCUCCAAGUCUGGCAGCUCAGCCACCCUGACCAUCACUGGGCUCCAAGCUGAGGAUGAGGCUGAAUAUUACUGCCAGUCCUAUGACAGGAGUUUCAAUGCUGUUCUGUCCUCAUAG